GUCAGUAACAUGACCCAAACACUGGCACUGACUUGACAUUUUCAGAUAGAGUAAGUGCUACUUGUUGGGGUAAUUUUAUUCGGACCACUGAAAAGGAAAU
ensembl:miRNA